rnacentral:rRNA from 1 species
AGGAUGAACGCUGGCGGUCUGCUUAACACAUGCAAGUCGAACGGGCGUAGCAAUACGUUAGUGGCGGACGGGUGAGUAAUGCAUCGGGACCUACCUGAACGUGGGGGAUAACGUAGGGAAACUUACGCUAAUACCGCAUACGUCCUACGGGAGAAAGCGGGGGACCUUCGGGCCUCGCGCGGUCAGACGGACCGAUGUUCGAUUAGCUAGUUGGUAAGGUAAUGGCUUACCAAGGCGACGAUCGAUAGCUGGUCUGAGAGGAUGAUCAGCCACACUGGAACUGAGACACGGUCCAGACUCCUACGGGAGGCAGCAGUGGGGAAUAUUGGACAAUGGGCGCAAGCCUGAUCCAGCAAUGCCGCGUGUGUGAAGAAGGCCUUCGGGUUGUAAAGCACUUUUAUCAGGAACGAAAUACCAUUGGUUAAUACCGGUGGGCUGACGGUACCUGAGGAAUAAGCACCGGCUAACUUCGCGCCAGCAGCCGCGGU